rfam:Ceriporiopsis subvermispora B unplaced genomic scaffold CERSTscaffold_1, whole genome shotgun sequence.
GCUGAUAUGGCCGAGUGGUUAAGGCGAGUGAUUUGAAUUCUGCGUGUGCGUUUCGCAUACCAUCCACUAUCACUUGGGCAUCGCCCGCAUAGGUUCGAACCCUAUUGUCAGCG